rnacentral:rRNA from 1 species
UGAGUACGAGAUGCUACGGCAUUGAAGCAGUCUAUGUCAUACUUCCAAGAAAAGCUUGCACUGUCAUAAACAAAGAAUGCCUGUACCAUAACCGACACAGGUGGGUAGGUAGAGUAUACUAAGGGGCGCGAGAUAACUCUCUCUAAGGAACUCGGCAAAAUGACUCCGUAACUUCGGGAGAAGGAGUGCCUUAUUUUUAAGGUUGCAAUAACAAGAUCCAAGCAACUGUUUAUCAAAAACACAGGUCUCCGCUAAGUCGUAAGACGAUGUAUGGGGGCUGACGCCUGCCCAGUGCCAGAAGGUUAAAGAAGUUGGUUAGCAUUCGCGAAGCUGAUAACUGAAGCCCUGGUGAACGGCGGCCGUAACAAUAACGGUCCUAAGGUAGCGAAAUUCCUUGUCGGGUAAGUUCCGACCCGCACGAAAGGCGUAAUGAUUUGGAUACUGUCUCGGAGAGGGACUCGGUGAAAUAGACUUGUCUGUGAAGAUGCGGACUACCUGCACCUGGACAGAAAGACCCUAUGAAGCUUUACUGUAACUUGAAAUUGAAAUUGGACUUUAGUUGCGCAGGAUAGGUGGGAGGCGUUGAGAAUAUUCUUGCGGGAGUAUUGGAGCCAUCAGUGAGAUACCACUCUUCUAAUGUUAGAUUUCUAACUUUGUAUCAUUAUCUGGUCAAAGAACAGUUUCAGGCGGGCAGUUUGACUGGGGCGGUCGCCUCCCAAAGGGUAACGGAGGCGCACAAAGGUUUCCUCUGAACGAGUAGAAGUCGUAUCUAGAGUGUAAAGGCAUAAGGAAGCUUGACUGUGAGACCUACAAGUCGAGCAGGGACGAAAGUCGGUCUUAGUGAUCUGACGGUGCUGAGUGGAAAGGCCGUCACUCAACGGAUAAAAGUUACUCUAGGAUAACAGGCUGAUCUCCCCCAAGAGUUCACAUCGACGGGGAGGUUUGGCACCUCGAUGUCGGCUCAUCGCAUCCUGGGGCGGUAGUACGUCCCAAGGGUUGGGCUGUUCGCCCAUGAAAGCGGUACGCGAGCUGGGUUCAGAACGUCGUGAGACAGUUCGGUCCAUAUCCGGUGUAGGCGUUAGAAUAUUGAGAGGAGCCUUCUCUAGUACGAGAGGACCGAGAAGGACAUACCUCUAGUGUACCAGUUAUCGUGCCAACGGUAAACGCUGGGUAGCUAUGUAUGGAGUGGAUAACCGCUGAAAGCAUCUAAGUGGGAAGCCCACCUCAAGAUAAG